UGUUCCACACUUAGGGUUUUGUGUUUUUAAAUCAUUUGUAUUGCAUUGUACCUAGACUAUCAUCUAUCUAGUGUCUUCUCCCCGCUGAUGAUCACCAUGUACACUGAUACAUCUUGAGAUAAUUGUCUGCUGAUUUUUCAGAGGAAAUUAAUAGUAAAUAUUGUCGAAGUUUAUUAAAAGUAAUCAAUUUUGCUUAGGUGGGUGGUUAGGCAACGGAGAUUGGUUUACUGCAAGGCAAUCAUUUCUAAACUGAAAUCACCUUGGCUUCCAUGCUUGAUAGCUUCUUUUGUUAUCUUUUUUCACUAAUAGGUGCCCUAGGAGAUAAGGAGUUUCUAUCCAGACAUUCAUAGGAGUUGUUCCAUGUGAAGGAGAAGGAGCUCCGAUUUCGUCAUGCGUGUGAAUAGAUUAUCCACCAGGUAGAUUUCGGUUGCGGUAGCAGCUCUAUUUGAUGGAACAGGUCAAGGCAUCACCCAUCAUGUAUAUAUUGCUUGUGCAUAAGUUUCAACCAGUUUUAUCAACAAUGGUCUUUAUUUUCCCACAAGAUAUUGUUCUCCCACUGUGCACACUUUUCUAUCCAAUUUAUCUUAUUUGAUGGCUACAAAGUACCAGUUGAUAUAUCACUUGAUUACUUUCCAGAUUGUCUGACAGGCUGCCAAAUCCAUGUUUUUCUCUCAACAAAGUACCAGUUGAUAUAUCGCUUGUGCAUAAGCUUCCAUCAGUUUUAUCUCCAUUGGUCUUUAUUUUCUCACAAGAUAUUGUUCUCCCAGCGUACAUAUUUUCUCUCUCCAGUUUAGUUUAUUUGUUGGUUACAAAGUACCAGCUGAUAUAUCACUAGUAUUACUUUCCAGGUUGGCCUAAUCUAUGAUUUUCUCUCUAGAGAGUAUGUUCAGCCACAAAGGAUUUUUGAUUGUUGAAUGCUUGAAAACUUCUUGCAUUCAAAUAGAGCCGAGUUCCGAAAAAGAGAGAUGUGGGAGGAAGAGAGGAGCAAGCUCCAGCUUGGAGGCAUAGCUAUUUGAGAAUUUCUUUCUGGCAGAAGCUAUUUGCUGAAAAAGUGGUCAUCUUAUCAUCAAAUGCUGCCCAAGAGAUGCAGUGCAAACAAGCAGUAACUUCACUUGUUAUGGUAAGUUCGCUGAUCCCAGAUAUUCCUUAAAACGCUAAUCAUUUGUUUGGUUGGUUCUCAGAUUCUUUUGUGUUAUUUCCAAGUGGUGUGUUUUAAUCACCUACACAUCUGAACCAGCAUAUCCAGUAGUUCAUGGUUUACUGGCGAUGGCUCUUUUUCGGUGCUAUCCGUGCAUCUGAAGGUCUACUCUUGCCAGUGGAAGUGCUCAAACUCUUAGCCAAGUGUGCCCAUUUUUUUUGCUGCGAAUUUAUUAUUGUUACUGUUUACAAGUUACGUUGCAAAAUACUGCAAAAUAUAAACAUGUACAUAUUCUUUUGUAACACGUUCUGGUUGCCUUGCGCCCCAUAAUUUCAUGGCAUGUAUGUUCUAGAGUUUA